rnacentral:rRNA from 1 species
CGUCAAGUCAGCAUGGCCCUUACGUCCUGGGCUACACACACGCUACAAUGGUCGGCACAGCGGGCCGCGAAGCCGCGAGGCGGAGCUAAUCCCCCAAAGCCGACCUCAGUGCAGAUCGCAGUCUGCAACUCGACUGCGUGAAGGCGGAGUUGCUAGUAACCGCCGGUCAGCAUACGGCGGUGAAUACGUUCCCGGGCCUU